UNGCAGACCUAGGAGCCUCCGUCCAGC
rnacentral:piRNA from 1 species